CAGCCAUUUGAUCUGUAAUUGCUUUUGUGUGCUAAGAGGUAACUUGAUUUACAUACAAUCAUCAUAUCAUGAUUUCACGAGUCUUGUUUUAUAUACAAAUUGAUUAAUACUCUGCAAACAAUAUCGUUCCACACACUAGCUUGUACCCUUGUACAUUCUAUCAAUGGCACUCACCUUACCUAGGUUAUUCCCAUCACAAAAGCAAUUACAGAUCAAAUGGCUG
rnacentral:misc_RNA from 1 species